rnacentral:tRNA from 1 species
GUGGUGGUGUUCACCCUGGCCCGGAUGUUCGGGGCGACAUCGCGCUCGGCGGCCUCCCUAGCAACCCUGGUCCCG